GGCUUGUCUGCCCUCCUGGGAGACCAGCUCUCUCCAGGAGGUAUUUGGUUAUGGAGCACUGUGGCACAGGUUCAGCUCCCAGUUAAGAUGUUUCAUGCAUAUUUGUAAAAGGUUUUCAUCAGGAAAAAUUGAUCCAAGCAUUAUCAAAAUAGAAAUUAUAUUUCUUCUUAAUAUUAAUUAGCCUAACUGGACAGUGGUGGCGCACGCCUUUAAUCCCAGCACUUAGGAGGCAGAUCACAAUCAUGAAAAGGGAAAAAAGAAGAAAGAAGAAAGAAAACAAACAUCUCGUGUCUAAAGUAACUAUGA
rnacentral:lncRNA from 1 species